GAAAAUUCACUGAUUACCGAUAUGGUAGCCGAUAUAUUUAACUUUUGAGCUGGAAUGAAAACAGACAUUUUCUAUGUGGAUUUUUCACCGAUUUUGCAUCGAUAUGACUAUGCAAAGGUACUCAGAAGGCUGAUUUCUUAAACAAAUAGUUUUUAUCAAAGAAUAUUUGACAUUAUUAUUAUACAUUGUCAACAAAUUCUAGAAAUGAACACUGAGAAAAUAAAGAAUAAAUACAAAUACAAUAAAUAGCUAAAUAAACAUCAGUACUGUUUAGUAUCAGUCAAAUGCUGACCAUUAAAAAAAAAGAAUAAAAAAAGUAAAAAAAAAAUAAUAGCUAAAUAAACAUCAGUACUGUUUAGUAUCAGUCAAAUGCUGACCAUUAAAAUAAA